AUGUGUGUGCACACUGGAGCGCUCCAUUCUCAGAUCGAUCAAUUACGGUCGAGGAACCGAGCACACGCUAUGGCCAAGACGCGGGCGAAGAAGGCGGCGGCGGCCGGUGAUGCCCGGAGCACUGGGAAGGAAGGGGACAAGGCGCCGGUGAAGGGAGGCAGCGAUGCGCCGGCGAACGGGGUGGUGGUAAGCGUGCCAGUCCACUGCGAUGGCUGCGCCAGGAAGCUGCGCCGGUCUCUGCUGCGCCUCGAUGGGGUUGAGGAGGUGAUCGUGGAUCACUCGACCGACACGGUGGUGGUAACUGGCCAGAAGGCGAUGGAGAACCCGAUCAUGGUGGUCGAGGCGGUCAAGAGGAAGACCGGGAAGAAGGCGGUGCUGCUGAGCCCAUCGCCGGAGAAGCUGCCACCGCCGGUGAAAAGUGAGGAUACCAAGAAACACGGUGCCGGGGCGCCAGACAUGAAAAAGGAUGUAGCGGAGUUCGACAUGGAAAUGGUUGUAGUGCUCAAGAUAGAAUUGCACUGUGAAGAUUGCAGUGAGGAGAUGAAGAAGAGGAUAGUCAAGAUAAAAGGAGUGGAGGAGGCCGUGCCGCACAUCAAAUCUUCACAGCUGAUGGUGAAAGGGAUGGUCGAGCCAGCGACCCUAGUAGGGUUCAUCCACAAGUGCACGGGGAGGAAGGCUGCCAUCAUCAGAGCUGAGCCACUGCAUGAGGAUACGCCAGCAGCAGCCAUGGAUGGGGAUGCGCCUGCAGCGGAUGCCAAUGCCAAGAAGCAAGAACCAUCUGAUAAUCUGGAAAACAAAAAUGAACUAGGGGUAGAAGAAGAGACCAAAGAAGCCGUGAACAGAGAAGAAGAGACUGAAACGGAGAAGCCAGGCAAAGGGGAUGGAGAUGGGGUUGAGAAGGAGACGGUUGUAGAGGAAAACCAGACGAAGGACCACCUAUUCAAACUGCCUGCGCCGGCUUCACUUGUUGCGGUGGCGCCGGAGGCUGAGAAGAUGGCCGUGAACGGCCACUACCAGUACAACUACCACCCAGCAGCCUACGCUUACGCAUACCCGCACUAUGCUUAUCAGCAAUACCACCAAUACCCAUAUGCUGGUAAUCCAGCAACGUAUUAUGGGCCGUAUCCGCAGCACUAUCCGCCACAGACUUUCGGCGAUCAGAGCCCAGAUGCAUGCACCAUCAUGUAA
rnacentral:rRNA from 1 species